rnacentral:rRNA from 1 species
UGAGGAAUAUUGGUCAAUGGUCGGGAGACUGAACCAGCCAAGCCGCGUGAGGGAAGAAGGCCCUAUGGGUCGUAAACCUCUUUUGUCAGGGAACAAAAGCGAGUAUGUAUACUAGUCUGAGUGUACCUGAAGAAAAAGGCAUCGGCUAACUCCAUGCCAGCAGCCGCGGUAAUACGGAGGAUGCGAGCGUUAUCCGGAUUUAUUGGGUUUAAAGGGUGCGUAGGCGGCGAUGCAAGUCAGCGGUAAAAGCCCGGGGCUCAACCCCGGCGAGCCGUUGAAACUGCAGUGCUAGAGAAGGCGAGAGGUACGCGGAAUGCGCAGUGUAGCGGUGAAAUGCUUAGAUAUUGCGCAGAACUCCGAUUGCGAAGGCAGCGUACUGGCGCCUGACUGACGCUGAGGCACGAAAGCGUGGGGGAUCGAACAGGGAUUAGAUACC